UACGUAGGGGGCAAGCGUUGUCCGGAUUUAUUGGGCGUAAAGAGCGCGUAGGCGGCUUUACAGGUCCGUUGUGAAAACUCGAGGCUCAACCUCGAGACGCCGGUGGAAACCGUAAAGCUAGAGUCCGGAAGAGGAGAGUGGAAUUCCUGGUGUAGCGGUGAAAUGCGCAGAUAUCAGGAGGAACACCAGUGGCGAAGGCGGUGCUCUGGGCCGGAACUGACGCUGAGGAGCGAAAGCGUGGGGAGCAAACAGG
rnacentral:rRNA from 1 species